rnacentral:rRNA from 1 species
AGUGGGGAAUAUUGGACAAUGGGCGAAAGCCUGAUCCAGCCAUGCCGCGUGAGUGAUGAAGGCCUUAGGGUUGUAAAGCUCUUUUACCCGGGAAGAUAAUGACGGUACCGGGAGAAUAAGCCCCGGCUAACUUCGUGCCAGCAGCCGCGGUAAUACGAAGGGGGCUAGCGUUGUUCGGAUUUACUGGGCGUAAAGCGCACGUAGGCGGAUCUUUAAGUCAGAGGUGAAAUCCCAGGGCUCAACCCUGGAACUGCCUUUGAUACUGGGGAUCUCGAGUCCGGGAGAGGUGAGUGGAACUGCGAGUGUAGAGGUGAAAUUCGUAGAUAUUCGCAAGAACACCAGUGGCGAAGGCGGCUCACUGGCCCGGAACUGACGCUGAGGUGCGAAAGCGUGGGGAGCAAA